UCUUGCAUCUGGCAAGAGACUUAUGCGGACAACAACCGCGUAGCCAGGAGAACUGGCAUUGGACUCCUAUUAAGGAGAAACAAAAUG
rnacentral:ncRNA from 1 species